AUUGAACGCUGGCGGCAGGCUUAACACAUGCAAGUCGAGCGGGGUGAUGGUGCUUGCACUAUCACUUAGCGGCGGACGGGUGAGUAAUGCUUAGGAAUCUGCCUAUUAGUGGGGGACAACAUCUCGAAAGGGAUGCUAAUACCGCAUACGUCCUACGGGAGAAAGCAGGGGAUCACUUGUGACCUUGCGCUAAUAGAUGAGCCUAAGUCGGAUUAGCUAGUUGGUGGGGUAAAGGCCUACCAAGGCGACGAUCUGUAGCGGGUCUGAGAGGAUGAUCCGCCACACGUGGACUGUGAGACGUCCCAGAGUCCUACGGGAGGCAGCAGUGGGGAAUAUUGGACAAUGGGGGGAGCCCUGAUCCAGCCAUGCCGCGUGUGUGAAGAUGGCCUUAUGGUUGUAAAGCACGUUAAGCGAGGAGGAGGCUCUUUUGGUUAAUACCCAAGAUGAGUGGACGUUACUCGCAGAAUAAGCACCGGCUAACUCUGUGCCAGCAGCCGCCGGAA
rnacentral:rRNA from 1 species